rnacentral:rRNA from 1 species
UACGGGGGGGGCAAGCGUUGUUCGGAAUUACUGGGCGUAAAGGGCUCGUAGGCGGCCAACUAAGUCAGACGUGAAAUCCCUCGGCUUAACCGGGGAACUGCCUCUGAUACUGGAUGGCUUGAGAUUGGGAGAGGGAUGCGGAAUUCCAGGUGUAGCGGUGAAAUGCGUAAAUAUACGAAGGAACGCCAAAAGCGAAGGCAGCUCUCUGGGUCCCUACCGACGCUGGGGUGCGAAAGCAUGGGGAGCGAACAGG